AUAAUGGACAAUUGGGGCAACCCUGAUCCAGCCAUGCCGCGUGUGUGAAGAAUGUCUNNNGAUUGNACAGCACUUCAAGUUGGNAGGNAGGGCAGUAAGUUAAUACCUAGCUGUUUUGACGUUACCGACAGAAUAAGCACCGGCUGACUACGUGCCAGCAGCCGCUGUAAUAAUAAGGGUGCAAGCGUUAAUCGGAAUUACUUGGCGUAAAUCAGGCGUAGGUGGUGCAGUAAGAUGGGUGUGAAAUCCCCGGGCUUAACCUGGGAACUGCUUUCAUAACUGCUGAGCUAGAGUACGGUAGGGGGUAGUGGAAUUUCCUGUGUAGCGGUGAAAUGCGUAGGUAUAGGAAGGAACACCAGUGGCGAAGGCGACCACCUGGGCUAAUACUGACACUGAGGUGCGAAAGCGGGGGGAGCAAAC
rnacentral:rRNA from 1 species